rnacentral:rRNA from 1 species
AAGGGAGGCGUAGGCGGCUGAUUAAGUCAGCGGUGAAAGGUAGCAGCUUAACUGUUUUACAUGCCGUUGAUACUGGUUAGCUUGAGUUGACAGAAGGCAGAUAGAAUUCCUGGUGUAGCGGUGAAAUGCUUAGAUACCAGGAGGAAUACCGAUUGCGAAGGCAGUCUGCUGCAGUCACACUGACGCUGAGGCUCGAAGGUGCGGGGAUCAAACAGGAUUAGAUCCCUGGU